GCCGAUGUAGCUUAGUGGCAAAGCAGCGGUUUCGUAAACCGCGGACGGGUGUCCGAUUCACCCCAUCGGCUCAA
rnacentral:tRNA from 2 species